rnacentral:rRNA from 1 species
AUUGAACGCUGGCGGCAGGCCUAACACAUGCAAGUCGAGCGGAUGAAGGGAGCUUGCUCCUGGAUUCAGCGGCGGACGGGUGAGUAAUGCCUAGGAAUCUGCCUGGUAGUGGGGGAUAACGUCCGGAAACGGGCGCUAAUACCGCAUACGUCCUGAGGGAGAAAGUGGGGGAUCUUCGGACCUCACGCUAUCAGAUGAGCCUAGGUCGGAUUAGCUAGUUGGUGGGGUAAAGGCCUACCAAGGCGACGAUCCGUAACUGGUCUGAGAGGAUGAUCAGUCACAAUGGAACUGAGAACCGGUCCCGACUCCUACGGGGGGGAGGAGUGGGGAAUAUUUGACAAUGGGCGAAAGCCUGAUCCAGCCAUGCCGCGUGUGUGAAGAAGGUCUUCGGAUUGUAAAGCACUUUAAGUUGGGAGGAAGGGCAGUAAGUUAAUACCUUGCUGUUUUGACGUUACCAACAGAAUAAGCACCGGCUAACUUCGUG